UACGUAGGGUGCGAGCGUUGUCCGGAAUUAUUGGGCGUAAAGGGCUCGUAGGCGGUUUGUCGCGUCGGGAGUGAAAACCUUGGGCUUAACUCAGGGCUUGCUUUCGAUACGGGCAGACUAGAGGUAUGCAGGGGAGAACGGAAUUCCUGGUGUAGCGGUGAAAUGCGCAGAUAUCAGGAGGAACACCGGUGGCGAAGGCGGUUCUCUGGGCAUGAUCUGACGCUGAGGCUCGAAAGCGUGGGGAGCAAACAGG
rnacentral:rRNA from 1 species